rnacentral:antisense_RNA from 1 species
GGGUGCCUGAUGCUUUCUGAGCGCAGGCAGGUGUGGUGGGCCAGAAAGCAAAUGCCCCGGAGAUGUUUCCAUCAACCGGGGCUACCACAACCAAACCUGAACAAUUUGGAUGGUAGCCCCUUCUUAGCAAGGAGGCAAUGACAUGCUUAACAAG